AAGUCGUAACAAGGUUUCCGUAGGUGAACCUGCGGAAGGAUCAUUAACACGUAUCCAAACGUUAAACCCCCCUGUGAACCUUCAGUCGUACUCGUACGUCCGUUAGAAAAAGCAGGACGUCUGCAAGGAGCGUGCAUGUUGUGCGUGUAAGUGGCCUGGCAUCCCCAAGCAGUUAGUGUCUGAAAGUGUCACUAACGUUAGUGUCUGAAAGUGUCACUAACAUGUGUAAGGAUGACGCAGUCACGAUCGUUGGAGGCCCACACGGCCGACGACCGGGUCACUGGGUGCAAGCCCCCUUAUCACACCCCUGCUCUAUCUAUGGUGAUCCUGCGGGAAGUCCUGCGGUCGAACGCCGAAACCGAACAACUGUUAACAAUGGAUAUCUUGGUUCUC
rnacentral:misc_RNA from 1 species